rnacentral:rRNA from 1 species
UAGGGGGUGUUCAACUGGGUUUCAGUAGGUGAACCUGCGGAAGGAUCUUGUCGUUGCCUCGAAACACGACCGCGAACAUGUAACGCUCAGCUGCCGGGGGGGCCUCCCCCCCGGACCCACCGGCCCCGGCCCCCCGGCCGGGUGCCGGAACACGGCGCGGACUGUCGCCAAGGAACACACGAUCUGCCCCAGGCACGCCGCGCUCCGCGGCGCUACCGAGGCCAAAGAAACAGUAUGACUCUCGGCAACGGAUAUCUCGGCUCUCGCAUCGAUCAAGAACGUAGCGAAAUGCGAUACGUGGUGUGAAUUGCAUAAUCCCGUGAACCAUCGAGUCUUUGAACGCAAGUUGCGCCCGAGGGACCAUCCCGAGGGCACGCCUGCCUGGGCGUUAUAAGCCCAUCAACGCCCGGUCACCCCCGUACGCGGCGCGGCGGGGGACCCGACCGGAUGCGGACACUGGCCCUCCGAGCCGCACAGGCACGGUGGGCCGAAGUGCGAGGCCGUCGACCGCGUCGGGAGCGGCAAGUGGUGGGCUACAGCGCAUGCCGAUCCCGACCCGCGUGGACACCGGGCCCUUCAUACCCCGUAACGAGCAUACCGUCGCAUAAGCGUCCGCGCGGCGCGACGCAAUCUGCCCGAUACCCCAGGUCAGGCGGGGCCACCCGCUGAGUUUAGCUAUCUAAACGGG